AUGGUUUACUUGCGCCAGAACAAAGGAUUCCUGUAUUUAUCUUUUUGUAUCAUUUCUCAAAUGAUUUUCAUUGCUGGACAAAUAUCACAAAAUGCAUGGAUGGCUGCUAAUGUCCAAAAUCCUCAUGUUACUACACUGAAGUUAAUUUCUGUGUACAUCAUUAUCGGAGUUUGCUCGAUGCUUUUCUUGCUAUCAAGAUCUUUAUCAGUCGUUGUUCUUGGGAUUCAGACAUCAAGAUCCUUAUUUUCCCAGUUACUCAAUUCAUUGUUCCGUGCACCAAUGUCCUUUUUUGAUUCUACUCCUCUAGGACGGGUUCUUAGCCGGGUCUCUUCUGAUUUGAGUAUCGUUGACCUCGAUGUUCCAUUUGCCUUCCUGUUUAGCCUUGGUGCCAGCUUAAAUGCAUAUAGCAAUCUAGUGGUAUUGGCUGUUGUUACAUGGCAAGUUCUGUUUGUAUCCAUUCCCAUGAUAGUUUUAGCAAUUAGGUUGCAGAGGUACUAUCUAGCCUCGGCCAAGGAAUUGAUGCGGAUCAAUGGUACUACCAAAUCUGUUCUAGCGAAUCACUUAGGUGAAUCAAUUUCAGGGGCUAUAACAAUAAGGGCCUUUGAGGAACAAGAUCGAUUCUUUGCUACCAAUUUGGAUCUUGUUGACAAGAAUGCAAGUCCAUAUUUCUAUAAUUUUGCUGCAACUGAAUGGUUGAUUCUACGUCUAGAGAUAAUGAGUGCUGCAGUUCUUUCUUUUUCUGCUUUUGUCAUGGCCCUUCUUCCACGAGGAACUUUUAGCCCUGGUUUUGUUGGAAUGGCUUUGUCCUAUGGUCUUACGCUAAACACGUCAUUUGUUUCAUGUAUUCAAAACCAAUGCAACCUUGCGAAUAAAAUAAUCUCAGUAGAACGGGUGAGCCAGUACAUGGGCAUACAAAGUGAAGCAGCAGAAGUUGUUGAAGAAAAUCGACCGUUGCCAGAUUGGCCCCAAGAUGGCAAUUUAGAGCUUAGAGAUUUGAAGAUCAGAUAA
rnacentral:rRNA from 1 species